GGACAAGAAAAAAUCUGGCUAGACUGGGCUUGGAAAGCUACCUACUUCUCUGCUGCUCAUUUGGGACUACAAAUGGAAAUAAUGGUACACAUGAAAAAGCAAAACCAAGAGCCUUUGCUAUGAGGGAGUGUGUGUUCUCAUUUCACACUGCCUUUGUGAAGUGGGAACCAUGAGUUGAGAAACGUAAACAAAUAAAUAAAUUGAAUGAAAAGUAGGUCCUAAACUGGAGACAUCCAUAGAGGCAUGUUAGGAAUCCACAUGGAAUUAUCAGAACCCAGUGUACAUGAGAUGUCCAUGGGAAGCAACUGUUGGUAAAUACAGGAGGACAGUCAGAGAUUAACUUUUGCACCAACCUAAUAGAAACGACACCAAUUAUUGGAGGCAAGGAAGCCACCAGGUGUGAC
rnacentral:lncRNA from 10 species